CACUCUUGUUGAGAGGAGCAGGUAGCAGAGAAGCAAAGGGUGUGAGACCGUGAUUUCUCAAAAGAUCUUGCCUCUGUCUCAACCUCAGUCCUACCCCUCGUUCCCUUCUGCCUGUCAAUGAAGCCGUGGCAGCAUGCUACAGUGCCUAUGGUCCUUUUAGAGAAAGGUUAGAGGGGCUGGCCCCAUUACUUCGUCCCCAUGUUGCCAGCUACAGCCAAGGAUGCCCUCCAUCGACUGUCCACCUACCUGGAAGAACUUGAGGCUGGGGAACUGAAGAAAUUCAAAUUAUACCUGGGGAUUGCGGAGGAACUGGGCCAGGACAAGAUCCCCAGGGGACGAAUGGAGAUGGCUGGUCCUCUGGAAAUGGCCCAAUUGAUGGUGGCCCAUAUGGGGACAAAGGAGGCUUGGCUUCUGGCUCUCAGCACCUUUGAGAGGAUCCACAGGAAGGACCUGUGGGAGCGAGGACAGGGAGAAGACCUGGUGAGGGUGACUCCAAGUAAUGGUCUAUGCUCUCUUGAGAGCCAGUCAACGUGCCUUUCGGACGUCUCUCCUGAUGCUCCAAGAAAAGAUCCCCAGAUAACCUACAAAGACUAUGUCCGAAGGAAAUUCCGGCUAAUGGAAGACCGCAAUGCGCGACUAGGCGAAUGUGUGAACUUAAGUCAUCGUUACACUCGGCUUCUCCUAGUAAAGGAACACUCAAAUCCUAUCUGGGCACAGCAAAAACUUCUGGAAACAGGGUGGGAACACUCCAGAACCAGGGGCCACCAGGCUAGCCCUAUCCAAAUGGAGACCCUCUUUGAGCCAGAUGAAGAACGCCCGGAGCCACCACGCACAGUGGUAUUACAAGGGGCAGCGGGGAUGGGGAAGUCCAUGUUGACCCACAAAGUGAUGUUGGACUGGGCCGAUGGGAGACUCUUCCAAGACCAGUUCGAUUAUGUCUUCUAUAUCAGCUGCAGGGAGUUGAAUAGAAGCCACACCCAGUGCAGUGUACAUGACCUCCUCUCCAGCUGCUGGCCAGAGCAUGGUGCACCCCUCGAGGACCUCAUCCGGGCUCCUGAUCGUCUUCUAUUCAUCAUCGAUGGCUUCCAUGAGCUUCAUCCCUCUUUCCAUGACGUUCAGGGUCCCUGGUGCCACUGCUGGGAGGAGAAACGACCCACGGAACUCCUCCUCGGAAGCCUGAUUCGGAGGUUGCUUCUGCCCCAGCUCUCUUUGCUCAUCACCACACGACCCUGUGCACUGGAGAAGCUGCACGGCUUGUUGGAACACCCUAGGCACGUGGAGAUCCUGGGCUUCUCCGAGGCAGAGAGGGAGGAAUAUUUCUACAGAUAUUUCCACAACACUGGACAAGCGAGCCAAGUGUUCAGCUUCAUGAGGGACUAUGAGCCCCUCUUUACCAUGUGUUUUGUUCCCAUGGUGUCCUGGGUGGUCUGCACCUGCUUAAAGCAGCAGCUAGAAAGUGGGGAGCUUUUAAGACAAACAUCUAGGACCACCACAGCGGUUUAUAUGUUCUACCUUCUGAGCCUGAUGCAGCCCAAGCCAGGGACCCCAACCUUCAAAGUCCCAGCCAACCAGAGAGGCCUGGUCUCUCUGGCUGCAGAGGGCCUCUGGAAUCAGAAGAUUCUCUUCGAGGAAGAGGAUCUUGGGAAACAUGGCCUAGAUGGAGCAGAGGUCUCCACCUUCCUCAACGUGAACAUAUUCCAGAAGGGCAUCAAGUGUGAGAAAUUCUACAGCUUCAUCCACCUGAGUUUCCAGGAAUUCUUCACAGCCAUGUACUGUGCACUGCACGGCAGAGAGGCGGUGAGGAGAGCACUGGCUGAGUAUGGUUUCUCAGAAAGGAACUUCUUGGCCCACACCGUCCGCUUUCUCUUUGGCCUCCUCAAUGAAGAGAUGAGAUGCUACCUCGAGAGGAAUCUCGGCUGGACCAUCUCCCCUCAGGUCAAGGAGGAAGCAUUGGCGUGGAUCCAAAACAAGGCUCGAAGUGAGGGCUCCACCCUGCAGCAUGGCUCCCUGGAGCUUCUCAGCUGCUUGUACGAGAUCCAGGAGGAAGACUUCAUCCAGCAGGCCCUGAGCCACUUUCAGGUGGUUGUUGUCAGAAACCUCUCAACGAAGAUGGAGCACGUGGUCUGCUCGUUUUGUGCGAGGUACUGCAGAGGCACAGAAGUGCUUCACUUGUAUGGGAGUGCCUAUAGUACAGGCGCAGAGGAUGGCCCGCCAGAACCUCCAGGAGCCCAGACGCAGUCCACACACUCACAGGAAAGGAACAUCCUUCCUGACAUUUACAGUGCAUACCUCUCAGCAACCAUCUGCACCAACUCAAACCUGAUCGAGCUGGCCUUGUAUCGAAACGCCUUGGGCAGCCAGGGCGUGAGGCUGCUCUGUCAAGGCCUCCGACAUGCAAACUGCAAGCUUCAGAACCUGAGGCUGAAGAGGUGUCACAUCUCCGGAUCAGCCUGCCAGGAUCUCGCAGCGGCUAUCAUCGCCAAUAGGAAUUUAAUCAGGCUGGACCUCAGUGGCAACAGCAUUGGAGUGCUAGGCCUAGAGCUGCUCUGUGAGGGGUUACAGCACCCCAUGUGUAGGCUGCAGAUGAUCCAUUUUUCAAGUCCCUGCUCCUCCCGAGAACUGUGGAUGAAGAAUAGAACUUGGCCUACUCUUGACCCAAGGCUGAGGAAGUGUUUGCUGGAGGCUGCGGCUGGCCGAGCACUGGCCUCUGUUCUCAGCAACAACUCACAUCUUGUAGAACUGGAUCUGACAGGAAACCCCUUGGAGGAUUUGGGGCUGAAGUUACUGUGUCAAGGGCUGAGGCACCCAGUCUGCAGGCUGCGGACCUUGUGGCUGAAGAUCUGCCACCUUGGACAAGCUUCCUGUGAAGAUCUGGCUUCUACUCUCAAAAUGAACCAGAGCCUGAUGGAGCUGGACCUGGGUCUGAAUGACCUUGGGGAUUCUGGGGCGCUUCUGCUGUGUGAGGGCCUCAGGCAUCCAGAUUGCAAACUCCAGACCCUCCGGCUGGGCAUUUGCCGACUGGGCUCAGACGCGUGUGCAGGGGUUGCUAGUGUGCUCCAGGUCAACACGUGCCUCCGAGAGCUGGACCUGAGCUUCAAUGACUUGGGAGACAGGGGCCUGUGGCUGCUGGGGGAAGGACUGAGGCACCAGACCUGCAGACUCCAGAAGCUCUGGCUGGACAGUUGCGGCCUCACUUCCAAAGCAUGUGAGGACCUGUCUUCAGUCCUGGGAAUCAGUCAGACCCUGAAUGAGCUUUAUCUGACCAAUAAUGCUCUGGGGGACACUGGUGUUCGUCUGCUGUGCAAGAGGCUGAGGCAUCCGGGGUGCAAGCUUCGUGUCCUGUGGCUUUUCGGAAUGGACCUGAACAAAGUGACCCACAGGAGGAUGGCGGCACUUCGAGUCACAAAACCAUACCUAGAUAUUGGGUGCUAAGCAGUAAUGCAGAAUGGACCAGGUCUUCCGGAUGUUUCCGGCUAUGACAGAACUUUAAGGCCUGUCUCUGGUAUAUGAUGACACCCAAACGAUGCAACACUUUCCACUUAAACCAGAUCAGAAGAGCGCUCCUACAUUUGAGUGCCACCAGGCCCUAAAACCUGGCGGCACUUUUUAAAGAAAAAAAAAGUGCCCCCAUAGUUUGAGAACCGCAAGAUGACAGACACGGUGGCAGCAAGAAAAAACAUCGUCAGUCACUCCAGCCUGAGAAAACCUGGAUGAAAUCAUGAACAGACUUCAGAGACCCCAGCAGACAUAUUGAGAAGGGCUUGUGCUGCAGCAAGGAAGUGAGGCAUUGAACACUUGCUCCCCAGUCCUCUGGAGGCUCAAGUCGAAAGAUGCAUUUCAUCUCCCCAAAGGGACUGCCAACCUGCUAACUACUUUGACUUCCUUCUUCACCCGGGGUCUGAAUGGCACUGAGGCUUGCAGAAUGAUCAUAGUCACAGAGUUGAGCUGCUUGGCCUCAAACUUGUGUAGUAGAGAAAAAUCAUCUGCUGUCCCUUCAGUUUCCUAACACACGCAUUGCUGGUCUUUCUUCUUUAUCGUACACUACAUUAUAUGAAGUGACUAUAUUCAUUUUCUGUUCCUAUGUGGUUUGGGUGUUGAGGGUUUGUUCUAUCUAUCUAUCUAUCUAUCUAUCUAUCUAUCUAUCUAUCUAUCUAUCUAACUUAGGACACAGAUUCUCUAUUUAGGCGAAGCUGGAUUCAAACUCAAGAGACUUGAAUCUCUCUGUCUCCCAAGUGCUGUGAUUAAAGGUUUAAACCAACAUGUCUUGGUGGCUUAUUUUUUCAGACCAUGUAAUUCUGUUUACCCCUGGCUAGCCUGGGACUCACUAGUAUGGGGCCUCUUCAUUUUAUUUAUUUGGGUUGGGGUGUCUGUGUGUGUGCCCAUGGUAGGGUGCUCUAGUGGAGGUCAAAGAACAGCUUGCCUAAAUUAAUUUCUCCUUCUCCUUUGUAGUCCUGGGGAUGGAAGCCAGGCGUAAGGGCAGGUGACAUAAGGACCCAGGAAAGGAACACCACUGUACUUUUUUUCCUUGAAACUCUCUGGGCUGAACCGUAGGAUUGCCAUUUGCAUGUCGGCGGUCCUGGCUGUCAUGAUAAUGACCCGGUCCUCACUCCCUUCUCCACCCAGCCCUUGGCUUUGUUUACCGGCACUGAUCAUUAGAAUAAGAAUGUUUCCGUAAAUUCCCAACAGGGUUUGAAAUCCUUUUAUGCACAAACUUAAUUGGUGCAAUCCCCUGGGCCUGACCUCAUUCACCUUGGUGCGGCUGGUGGACGCCUUUAAGGCAUUAAAAGAUAAACUGCCGUUUUAUCCCUAUUUUCUUUGGCGAAAGGUAUUAUAAGGAAAAGUGGAGGGAAACAUUCUUUCGGGGGCUGGCACACCUGGCCCAGUUUGCUUGGCCCGGCAUCAGAAUAUAAGAUUAUUCUCAGGCUAAACUGCCUGCCUCUGAACCAAGCACUGUAGCACACGCCUCCUACCCUCCUCUUCCAGAGAGGCCCAUUAGGCAGCCAAGGUUGGUCUGGCAAUUCACUGUGUAGAACGAUCUGGCCUUGAACUCACAGCUCUGGUUUCGGUAUCAGCUUCCCAAGUGUUCAGAAGACAAGUACGAGCUAUCUUAAUUCCCAUUACAUGUAGACCCUGAUAUAGGAUACCUGUCAUGUUCUCAUUUUUUAAACGUUGUCCUCCAAGGUACAUAUGUUCCCAUUGCCUCAGCCCUGGCAGUGAGGGAGCCAGAACCUGGUGCAGGCUGUACAAAGCAUCUAAAUUCGGGUGGUACCUGUUUCACCUAUAGUUUUGAGAACUUCAUAUUUAGUUUUAAACUCAGCAGAAAUACACUCUCAGUAAUAGUUGGCUGACAAGCAGUUAAAAAAAGGUAGCCUGGCACCGACAGUGUAGCAUCCUCCAUUUAUAAUCCCAACCCUCAUGGAAAGGGAGGCAGGAGCCCUGCUUUGAGCUGAAGCCAGCCUGAACUUCAGAGUAAGUUCUACUCCAAUCUAGGCUAUCGGGAGACCUUGUCUCAAAAGAAAAAAAAAAAAAAAAAAAAAAAAGGAAAAAAAAAGAAAAAAAAAGGAACAGAGAACGAGUAUAAUAAAAAUUGAGCUGGAUAGCUGGAUAUAGCGAUGAUGAUAGUGUGCUUACUUGGCAUGGCUGAAGCCCUGGGUUUAAUUCCCGGACUUGAAAAAGAAAAAAAAAAAAAAGAGAGAGAGACCAUCUUUUUAUUUUAUUUUAAGAAGUUUUUGACACCGGAGAGCUCAGUUUCUGUGUAGUUGCUGGGAGCCGCGGCAAGACCACCACGUGUCUCUUUCUAUUGUCUAAGGCGGCUCUUCGUUCUUCUUUUGGGAUCGCGGAACUAAGUCUUUGUGAUGGAUACCUCGUGACCUAAGAAACCAUUCACUAGCCAAUUCUUUAUUGAGUACCGGUCUGGUGGAAGCGAGCCAGGGGUUUGGAGGGUGAGGGGUGAGGUUGCUGAGCAAGCAGGAUGUAGACUCAUGUCAGUGUCUGUGUGGUGUGUUUGGAAUUGAACCUAGGGAGGCUCUCACGUGACAAGUCCCAGCCCAUGCUACACUCCUUCCCAUAGGACUCGGUUUUCAAGCCUUAUGUUAAAUGUGAUAUACUGUUAGGUCAGUGUGGUUUGUUAUUGAGAAAUGAUCCUGACUCUCCUUAAGCUUCACAAGGCAGGAGAUGUAGCAGAGUUGAUGGAGCACGUAUUGACCCAGCAUUCCUUCUUGGCUGGA